rnacentral:rRNA from 1 species
AACGAACGCUGGCGGCAGGCUUAACACAUGCAAGUCGAGCGCCCCGCAAGGGGAGCGGCAGACGGGUGAGUAACACGUGGGAAUCUACCCAUCCCUGCGGAACAACUCCGGGAAACUGGAGCUAAUACCGCAUACGCCCUUCGGGAGAAAGAUUUAUCGGGGAUGGAUGAGCCCGCGUUGGAUUAGCUAGUUGGUGGGGUAGAGGCCUACCAAGGCGACGAUCCAUAGCUGGUCUGAGAGGAUGGUCAGCCACAUUGGGACUGAGACACGGCCCAAACUCCUACGGGAGGCAGCAGUGGGGAAUAUUGGACAAUGGGCGCAAGCCUGAUCCAGCCAUGCCGCGUGAGUGAUGAAGGCCUUAGGGUUGUAAAGCUCUUUCACCGAUGAAGAUAAUGACGGUAGUCGGAGAAGAAGCCCCGGCUAACUUCGUGCCAGCCGCCGCCGUAACAC